rnacentral:rRNA from 1 species
UACGUAGGAUCCGAGCGUUGUCCGGAUUUACUGGGUGUAAAGGGUGCGCAGGCGGACUGGUAAGUCAGUGGUGAAAUCUCGUCGCUUAACGACGAAACUGCCUUUGAUACUAUCAGUCUUGAAUCCGGUAGAGAUCUGUGGAAUUCCGAGUGUAGCAGUGAAAUGUGUAGAUAUUCGGAAGAACACCAGUGGCGAAGGCAGCGAACUGGCGCUUUAUCGACGCUCAGGCACGAAAGCAUGGGGAUCAAACAGG